rnacentral:tRNA from 1 species
CGCGGUAAGGUGGUCAGGUUGACCAUUCUGGUUUCAUAUGCCAUGAGAGUUACGUUCGAUUCGUAAUACCGCAACCA